rnacentral:piRNA from 1 species
UACUGUGUUUACUUAUAGUCAUAACUAUA